rnacentral:rRNA from 1 species
AUUGAACGCUGGCGGCAUGCCUUACACAUGCAAGUCGAACGGUAACGGGCCUUCGGGUGCCGACGAGUGGCGAACGGGUGAGUAAUACAUCGGAACGUGCCCGAUCGUGGGGGAUAACGAGGCGAAAGCUUUGCUAAUACCGCAUACGAUCUACGGAUGAAAGCAGGGGACCGCAAGGCCUUGCGCGGACGGAGCGGCCGAUGGCAGAUUAGGGAGUGGGUGGGAUAAAAGCUUACCAAGCCGACGAUCUGUAGCUGGUCUGAGAGGAUGAUCAGCCACACUGGGACUGAGACACGGCCCAGACUCCUACGGGAGGCAGCAGUGGGGAAUUUUGGACAAUGGGCGCAAGCCUGAUCCAGCCAUGCCGCGUGCAGGAUGAAGGCCUUCGGGUUGUAAACUGCUUUUGUACGGAACGAAAAGCCUUCUUUUAAUACAGGAGGGUCAUGACGGUACCGUAAGAAUAAGCACCGGCUAACUACGUG